UUUGGGGGCACCCAAUGAAUGACUUCGGGGCACCCAAUGAAUGACUUUGGGACACCCAAUGACUUUGGGACACCCACAGAAUGAUGUUGGGGCACCCAAUGACUUUGGGAUGACUUCGGGGUACCCAAUGAAUGACUUCGGGACACCCAAUGGGUUUGGGACACCCAAUGAAUGAAGUUGGGGACACCCAAUGGCUUUGGGGUACCCAAUGAAUGACUUUGGGACACCCAAUGAAUGAUGUUGGGGACAGCCAAUGCUUUUGGGGUACCCAAUGAAUGACUUUGGGAUACCCAAUGAAUGACUUUGGGGCACCCAAUGACUUUGGGGCACUCAAUGACAACUUUGGGGACACCCAAUGACUUUGGGGACACCCAGUGAAUGACUGUGGGACACUCAAUGACUUUGGGGACACCCAAUGAAUGACUUUGGGGCACCCAAUGACUUUGGGGACACCCAAUGAAUGGCUUUGGGGCACCCAAUGACUUCGGGACACCCAACGAAUGGCUUUGGGGCACCCAAUGACUUCAGGACACCCAGUGAAUGACUUUGGGGCACCCAAUGGCUUUGGGGCACCCAAUGACUUUGGG
rnacentral:lncRNA from 1 species